rnacentral:rRNA from 1 species
UCCGGUGGCGAUGCGCUUGUGGGAAACACCCGUACCCAUGCCGAACACGACGGUUAAGACGCAAGCGGCUGAUGAUACUUGGCUGGAGACGGCCCGGGAAAGUAAGUGGCUGCCGGAA